CCUCCUAAAAAAACCCAAAUCGACAGCGAGACGCCAUGGCGAUUCAGUUCUAGCUAGGUCUACCUCCCGAUUCCCCUACCUUCUCGGCCGGCCGGCCGGCUUGGACUGCCGCACCACCUGCGCGCCGCCGCCGCCGUCCCCUUCCCGCGCCGCAUCCGAGAGAACCCUAGCGCCCACUGCCUCCCCGAUGGACGAGCACCAGUCCGGGGAUCUCGUCAAGGAGCUCGUCCUCCGCCUCGUCCCCGCCGACUCCGGCGGCGCGCUGCGGUUCGCGCACCGGCUGCUCUCCAGCCGCCUCGCCCCGGCCGUCCUCCCGGACGAGCACGCGCUGGCGGAGUCCGUCAAGCGCCGCCUCGCCGCCUCCGGCCGCCCCGACGACGCGCUCGCCUUCGCCGACCUCCACUCCAAGCUCUCCGCCCGGUCCCGCCCCGCCUCCCUCUGGCCGCUCCUCUACCUGCUCGACUCGCUCUCCCCCCACCGCCGCGGGGCCGCCGCCUGCCUCCCCGACCUCCCCACCGCCGCGCCGCCGAGGCAUGCCCCGCGGGCGCCCGGCACGCCCGCCGGCGGCGCGGCGCUCGUCUCCAAGGACCCGGACAACAUCCGCGAGAUCGCGCUGCGGGAGUACACCGAGCUGGUGCUCGACGAGACGGAGGUGUCGGAGGCCACGCUGGUGCGCGACGUGCUGUACGCCUGCCAGGGCAUCGACGGCCGCUACGUUCGGUACGACAAGGCCAGCGACACCUACGACCUGCCCGCCGGAGUCCGCGUGCCUGGCUCCACUCGCACCCUGGUACGCAAGCUGUGCGAGGUCGGCUGGCUGUUCCGCAAGGUGCGAGGCUUCGUUUCCGACAAUGUGAGCCGCUUGCCCUCUCAUGCCGCCACCGAGGUCGGCACUGUUGCUCAGGCCUUCUGCUCGGCUCUACAGGAGGAGCUGUCUGAUUACUAUAAGCUGCUUGCAGUUCUAGAGUCGUACUCGUUGCAUCCGAUCCCAACACCUGGGUCUGAUUCGGGUGUGUCAGGUAAUUACCUCUCACUGCGGUGUCUCGUUGUCUGGCUUGCUGAGCCUGCGGUGAAAAUGCGCUUGAUGGCUGUCUUGGUGGAUGGAUGCCGUGGCUUGAGAGGUGGUGGAAUGGCUGGUGCGAUCCAUGGGCACGCACAGCACGGGGAUCCCAUGGUUCAAGACUUUAUGGGCCGCUUGCUGCGGCGAGUCUGCUCGCCGCUGUUUGAAAUGGUCCGAAGCUGGGUGCUUGAAGGUGAAUUGGAGGAUGUAUUUGGUGAGUUCUUCAUUGUUGGGCAGCCAGUUAAGGCUGAAUCUUUGUGGCGGGAGGGCUACCUUAUUCAGUCUGAUAUGCUACCGAGUUUCAUUUCUCCGGUGCUGGCACAAAGGAUCCUCAGAACAGGGAAGUCAAUCAACUUUCUCAGAGUUUGCUGUGAUGAUAAUGGUUGGGCUGAGGCUGCCACUGAGGCUGCAGCCUAUGUUGGCACCACAACAAGUCGAGGUGGGCUUGGUUAUGGGCAGAUUGAUGCCUUGGAGGCAUUGGUGGUAGAAGCAGCCAAGAGGAUUGAUCAACGUUUGAUGGAUGUGAUCCAUAAGCGAUACCGAUUUAAAGACCAUUGUCUUGCUAUCAAGCGAUAUUUGCUUCUUGGGCAGGGUGAUUUUGUUCAGUAUCUGAUGGAUGUUGUUGGUCCAGAGUUGUCAGAACCAGCCAAUAGAAUUAGCUCCUUCCACCUUGCUGGCUUGCUUGAAACUGCAAUACGUGCGUCUGAUGCGCAAUAUGAUGACCGUGACAUCUUGGACCGGAUAAGAGUAAAGAUGAUGGAUCAUGGAGAUGGUGAUCGUGGCUGGGACGUCUUCUCCUUGGAGUAUGACGCUAGGGUCCCUCUGGACACGGUGUUCACAGCUUCAGUCAUGAAGAUGUACCUCAAGAUAUUCAACUUCCUAUGGAAGCUUAAGCAUGUUGACCAUUCUCUGACUGGAGUCUGGAAGACAAUGAAGCCUAAUUGCAUUGUUUCUUCUCCAUUCUACAAGGAAGGGACAAGCAUCAGGGCUCAGUUUGUUUCAGUUCUUCGGAAAUGCCAAGUUCUGUUCAAUGAAAUGAACCAUUUUGUGACCAACUUCCAGUACUACAUUAUGUUUGAGGUCCUGGAGGUUUCCUGGGCUCGUUUUUCAGAAGAAAUGGAUGCAGCAAAAGAUUUGGAUGAUCUUCUCAUGGGACAUGAUAAGUAUCUCACUUCAAUUGUGGAGAAGUCCCUCCUGGGUGAGAGGUCCCUGGGAAUUUUGAGAAAUCUUUUUGCUUUGUUUGACAUCAUAUUGCAGUUCCGCAGCCAUGCUGAUAGGUGGUUUGAACGGAUAUAUGAGCUGCAACUAAGGGGAAAGAGUAAACUGAAAACAAAAUCGAAGGAAACAGGUUCAUGGCUGGAGGGGGGCAGAAAAGCCAUGAUUCAACUCGCAGGGGAACUUUUUCGGAAAAUGGGUGAAGAUUUGGAUAGCAUUGCAAAAGAUUAUACAGCUUCUCUUGAUUCAUUUAUCUCCCAGUUGCCCCUGCAGCAACACGUUGAUUUAAAGUUCCUUCUCUUCCGUUUGGACUUCACUGAAUACUACAGCCGUGUUUCGUCCAACAAAUGAAAUGAGUGUGUGCUUCUAAUGUGGAAGAAAUAGGCGUUAGAUUUACUUUUUGGUUGGGGAUUUGAAUUUGUAUUCGGAAGCUGCUUCACUAAGGACUGCUGCCACAGAGAACAGCAGAAAAUUCGCGCAAAAUUCAACAACAUUGUGAAGGCGGUGCGUCUAAGUUAGAAGUCAUCAAUAAAGCAGGCAUCUUUUCAAAUAUAUCUGUAGUUCAACACCUACAUGGAUAGCGUCGACCCUUUCCUCGAGCGAGUGGAGGAGGCUGGCAGGCAACUGGCAGGGGAUGGCGCUUCUCCUCCAGAUCCAUCUGCCGCCGUCACAACAAAAACCACGUCCAGAGCCAGUGCAAUGAGCAAGAAGUCUGAGGGCUAGGAAAAGGACAUGAGCUGUGGUUCUUACCACUUUACCAGCGCAUGGAUGGGAAACCCAGUACAUAUCUCUGUUUAUGUGGGCAUGAUGAUGUAGUAGUGCCUCUAGCUGCUAUUUAUGUGCUGAAUUAUGCAUGCGCUGGUUGGCUCGGCUCGGGGCUAGUUAUCGAUCGAGGUAACUGAAUACUACGUGCUGAUGUUAUCUUCUAUAUAUAUGUAAAUAUGCACUGCAUUUCUGACACACUUUCAUUUUUGCUUUGGUUGUGACUUGUCAUCAGAUAAGAUGGCUUUGUCGUCUUACUGAUACAAUUGAGCAUGACACUCUUCUU